UCCAUUUCGAAGCUCAUUACUACCAAAGACAGUGGAGGGUCUAAUAUGUUUGAAGAAUUGGUAUAGUGAAAGCAACCAACCAAUUAUUGUCAAGGAAUACAUGGAUGAAGAAGAAUUACUAAAUACUUCUGAACAACUUGAAAAUGAGAUUAUUACUACUCCUAGCGAGCAUCCUAAAUGAUAUAUAGCAUUGUUGCAAGUUUGAAAUGGUUUCAUUAGAGAUUAAGAGUUGCAUUUCAUUUGGAGCCUACUUUUGAAGUCACUUUUGUGUUAAUUAUGGAGACUUUAUGAAUUAUUAUGAACUUAGAUUGUGUUAUGGACUUAAAUUAUGGACUUUUUUUUUGGAUUGUUAUGAACUUGUAUGGACUUUUUAAGGACUUUUUCUAGAUUGUUAUGGAGUAGUACUAUGGAAUUUAUAAGAAUUGUUACGAAAUUUUCAUGAUUAUUAUUAUGCCUUGUUAUGGAGUUUAUAAAGAUUGAUAUGAAUUUCUUAAGGACUUUUAUGCAUUGUUAUUAACAGGUAUAAAUUUUUAGUUAUUUUUUUUUUCUUGUGACAAUAUACUUUGGAAGUUUUGAUUUUUAAGCAACCCAACCGCCCAAAAAACCGCAUAAAACCGCCCUCUAAAAAACCGCCCAACCCAAACUUUUAUUGGGCAGGUAUGGGUUGUGAUUUUAAAAAACCGCCAAAUAAAAAAACCGCCAAACCGCCCAAAAACCGCCCAACCCAACCCAUGUGCAGGCCUAAUGCAUACUGUUAUACUAAUCUUACCUGGAUUCCGAAUUCAGGUGUGCCGGUCAACCUGACUGGAACUUUAACUGCGCGGCGGAUUACAGGCUCCUAAACCAUAAAAAUCACAACACUAUAAGUGACACGCUAAAUCACUUCCCGGGGACUUAAACUAGGAACGAAAAGUUUCCCU